GUCAUAGUGGUAUGGCAGGCACUACUAAGGGGCUUUAGCUCCGGAUUCCGAGCCGGGACUAUGCUUCUAGGACUAAAGGCCCCCCCUUAGUUCCGGCUCCGUGCACUAGGGCCAAAGCUCCACCCUUUAGUCCCGGGCGGUAUUACCAGCUGGGAUUAAAGGGUGCUGCCAGCGGUGCCACGCAGCAGCACCCUUUAGUCCCGGCUGGUAGUACCGCCUGGGACUAAAGGGCCCCCUUGUUUUUUCUUUUUCUUUUCUUUUCAGUUCUGUUUUUUUAGUUUUGAUUAUUUAUACAAUAGGUUUUCCAAUAUGUAUUCGUUGAUGCUAAUAUAUAUAUAUAUAUAGAAGUUGUUCUCUAAAUCUAUUACUGCACAAGUUGUACUCCAAAGUUAAUACUCUAAACCUAUUACAAGUUAUACUUCAUCAUCCAAAGAUCUACAAAACAUACAAAUGAUCAUCAUUGUUUAGAAUCAUCUUCUCGUUAGGAUUAUAGUGGAACUCGCCGCUUGGAUUUAUGACUUGUUCCCGAAGAAAUCAUGCUAUUGCCUCUUGUAUUGCUUGGAGUUGUUCAUGUUGUAUGAGUUUUUGCUUCAACCAUUCAGUCUUCAAUUUGAAUUAAAAGAAGGUAUUAGUUAUAUCAAGAUUAUCAAUAGUAAUUCGAGAGAAAAUGAAAAGAGACAUGUGUUACAUACUCUGAGGUAUUCUUUAGGAAUUCUAUUUGUUAUUGUCGUAAUAUACUCGCAAACGUAGUAUCCACAUAAGUUGUUCCCCGGUUCUUGUCUCAAGAUCCACUAUAGGAUGUAAAGAUUCAUCUCGUAAAAAAGACAAGAUAUAAGAUAUACCACGUACAUUGACGAGAAGGAUAAACUUACUCGUAGCAGUAUUAUCUUUAGUGGUGCCCUACGUUGAGUUAGAUGUUCACAAACAAUAAAUCUUUCCUAAACCUUAAACCAAUGAUAUAUUUGAAACAAGAGAGUUGGAUCGUUAAGUAUGCAUAUAUACAAGCAUAGUCUACUUUACGCAUGCAAAUGGAUCGACAUUACCUUUAAAUGAUGUCUAUCAUAUCUUGGUAAUAUUGUUGCGAUUUAUUCAUUGAGUCAUAGAUUACCAACUUACUUUCAGCAAGAUCAAUGACUAUGAGUAUCCAGUAAAAGCUGUUCAUAGAGACAUGAGUCGUAGAUUAGGAUUAAGUAAAAUUAAAGGUGCACACUUGCAUGUUAACUAUAUAUGUAUAACUCACUUGAAGUUGCAGGGGAAGAGUAUUCUUUUUUUGUCUUUUUGGUUCAUGAAGAACCUCAUA
rnacentral:lncRNA from 1 species